UGAGCCGGGUCCAGUAGCAACAUUUCACCACGCCAUGAAAUAGAUACAGACAUUGAACUUGGAGAUUUAGAGGUAAGAAUUCUAUAUUUUAUUCUGUUUUGGUUGAUUAGUCUUAAUAUGUAGUCUUUAUAUGGUUUUUGUUGACUGUCAACAUUACUGUUUCAGAUUACUUCGCUCAAGCUUCCACUAACGACUAUUUGCAGAAUGAAAGUUAUAAUGAAUCGAGGUAGCAUAAUCGGGUGUGUAUUGCCUUAGCUACUCGAUCCAGAGCAGGUUAGAACCUUUACAAUUCCCUCGUUUUGGAAUAAACCUGCUGGUGUUAUCAUAAUCUAAAAAUCCACAAAAUACAGGUCAUAUAAUGUGAAGUGAAGAAUCCAAAAUAUGGGUUUUUUUAAUUAUACUAUUAUGAAGACGCAGUUAAAGUGAUAUUACUAAUUAAAAAAGACAGAGACAAUGUUUGCUCUCGAAAGUAUAUAACUUGAUAAUUGGGAGAUACUGAAAAACAUAAGUGGAUUGCAGAUUCUUCCUUUUCUUUGACCUGCAAUACAAAAAACGAACUAUGUAAUAUAUAUCUAAGAGAAAAUAUUGGUUAGAACUCCAAUAUGUGUAGAGUUUAAAUCGAUACCUUGCUGAAAUGACUUCGAUGCCUA
rnacentral:lncRNA from 1 species